rnacentral:misc_RNA from 1 species
UUUCCGUAGGUGAACCUGCGGAAGGAUCAUUAACACGUUAUCCACGUCAACCUUCGUGCACUUAUUUUCGUCUCGUGGGGCGGUCCUUCGGGAUUGUCCCGUCAUCGAGCGCCCACUUUUUUUAAUUAAAAAGUAGGACUCGGUGGCAGAACUAUUAACCUUUAUAACAAAUUGUACUAAACUUUGAGUGGAGCUAAUACCUCCUACUCUACUUUAAAAAACAUUAGAACAACUCUUAGCAACGGAUAUCUUGGUUCCC